rnacentral:rRNA from 1 species
ACGGAAGGCAGCAGUGGGGGAUAUUGCACAAUGGGGGAAACCCUGAUGCAGCGACGCCGCGUGAGUGAAGAAGUAUUUCGGUAUGUAAAGCUCUAUCAGCAGGAAAGAUAAUGACGGUACCUGACUAAGAAGCCCCGGCUAACUACGUGCCAGCAGCCGCGGUAAUACGUAGGGGGCAAGCGUUAUCCGGAUUUACUGGGUGUAAAGGGAGUGUAGGUGGUUUGGCAAGCCAGAUGUGAAAGCCCGGGGCUCAACCCCGCUGACUGCAUUUGGAAGUGUUAAACUUGAGUGCAGGAGAGGAAAGUGGAAUUCCUAGUGUAGCGGUGAAAUGCGUAGAUAUUAGGAGGAACACCAGUGGCGAAGGUGGCUUUCUGGACUGUAACUGACACUGAGGCUCGAAAGCGUGGGGAGCAAACAGGAU